GCUUACGGCCAUACCACCUUGAAUGUGCCCGAUUUCGUCUGAUCUCGGAAGCUAAGCAGGGUCAGGCCUGGUUAGUACUUGGAUGGUAGACUGCCUGGGAAUACCAGGUUCUGUAAGCU
rnacentral:rRNA from 1 species